GCGCCGAGGGCCCUCCUUCCUGCGACCUACCCGGACUUUUUUUGUGGGCUUUGCUUCCUACAGUACAAUUCAGAUCACUGAAUUUAGUGCGAAGAGGUUUUUUCUAAGUUUAAUUUUUACAUUUGCUUUGGCUGAAAGGAAACCUCGUCACCCGGGACUUAAUCCUGCUGAUUUAACAGAUAAGUGACGCUGGAUUUCACUUGCUAAAGCUGAGCGCUUGUGGAGAAGCCAGAGUGGCUGAGGCCGUAGUAAGCCAGCCCCCGCCCCCAGGGCUUUGGGAGUAAAGGUCUUCUUGAGCCGACUUUUCCGACAAAGGAUUUGCAUCAAGACACCCUUGCAAAUCGGAGGGACCCGUUUUUGUCCUGAGUUCGGGCAGCGUGGCCGCCAUCUGGGUGGAGGUGGCAUGUCCGGGCGUGCCCAGCUGCAGGCUCCUGGCCGAGGUGGCGCCCUUUCAGACCAGAAAUGAA